rnacentral:rRNA from 1 species
UACGUAGGGUGCAAGCGUUGUCCGGAAUUAUUGGGCGUAAAGAGCUCGUAGGCGGCUUGUCGCGUCGGCUGUGAAAACCUGGGGCUCAACCCCGGGCCUGCAGCCGAUACGGGCAGCUAGAGUUCGGUAGGGGAGACUGGAAUUCCUGGUGUAGCGGUGAAAUGACGCAGAUAUCAGGAGGAACACCGGUGGCGAAGGCGGGUCUCUGGGCCGAAACUGACGCUGAGGAGCGAAAGCGUGGGGAGCGAACAGG